rnacentral:rRNA from 1 species
AGAUUAGCUUGCUAUAGUUGUCAGCUAAGUGGCGCACGGGUGAGUAAUGUAUAGAUAACCUGCCCUCUAGAAAGGAAUAACAGUUGGAAACGACUGCUAAUGCCCUAUAUGCCUUUAAUACAUAAGUAUGCAAGGGAAACGCUUUAGUGCUAGAGGAUGGGUCUGUAUGGUAUCAGCUAGUUGGUGAGGUAAUGGCUCACCAAGGCUAUGACGCCUAACUGGUUUGAGAGGAUGAUCAGUCACACUGGAACUGAGACACGGUCCAGACUCCUACGGGAGGCAGCAGUGGGGAAUAUUGCACAAUGGACGAAAGUCUGAUGCAGCAACGCCGCGUGGAGGAUGACACAUUUCGGUGCGUAAACUCCUUUUAUAUAGGAAGAUAAUGACGGUACUAUAUGAAUAAGCACCGGCUAACUCCGUGCCAGCAGCCGCGGUAAUACGGAGGGUGCAAGCGUUACUCGGAAUCACUGGGCGUAAAGAGCGUGUAGGCGGGUAUAUAAGUCAGAAGUGAAAUCCUAUAGCUUAACUAUAGAACUGCUUUUGAAACUGUAUACCUAGAAUGUGGGAGAGGUAGAUGGAA